rnacentral:misc_RNA from 2 species
AAGAAUAAUUCUUGAUCCGACCAAAGAAAGGAGGGAGAGCUGUAGCUGGCCCUAGGCACGUGCACGCUUUCUUUCUGGACUUUGGUCGUAUGGGCGCGGAGGGUCAACCCUCUGCGUCUUCAUAUGCCCCUCUUCGUGUAGAAAGUCUUUGAAUGUUUUUACCAUCAUCGAGUCGCGACUUCCAGGAGACGCGAUUCUUUGAGACAAAAGUUAUUA